AGUUGGUCCGGGUGUCGUAGGUUAUUGUUAAGCUGAUUUAACAUUGUCUACCCCAAUAACCACACCUGACUAGCUAUUU
ensembl:misc_RNA Y_RNA Y RNA